rnacentral:lncRNA from 1 species
UGGAGCUGGGAUCCUUGAGUGCUGGGGUAAUGUUUAGUUCCCCCUGGGAGAAGUCAACCAUGUUAUUACCUGAGAAGGAGGUGUGGGCUUCUAAAGAACAUCUCCUCCAAGCCUCCUCCUCUUCGAGCAAAGCCUGAGGCGCAGAGCUGUGGGUAUACCUGGGGGAAAGCACUCGAGGCCACCUAAUCAAGCAACUGUUUCCCAUCGUCUCCUAAUGAUCAACGACACCAUACCUGAGGGCUUCAGCAUCAUUAUCUUUCUUCUAGGACCUACAGUCUAGCCUUAGGUGUGUCUGUUUUUCUUUCCCCAGUACUUGCUGGAAAAUAACCGGAUGGUGAACAUUUUCACGGACCUUUACUACCUGACUUUUGUUCAAGAACUCAACAAGUCUCUGAGUACCUGGCAGCCCACACUCCUCCCCAACAAUACGGUGUUCUCUCGAGUGGAGGAGGAGCAC